UACGUAGGGUGCAAGCGUUGUCCGGAAUCACUGGGCGUAAAGCGCGCGCAGGCGGCUGUCUACGUCCGGGGUGAAAGCCCAGAGCUCAACUCUGGGACUGCCUUGGAUACUGGAUGGCUUGAGGAUCGGAGAGGCAAGGGGAAUUCCACGUGUAGCGGUGAAAUGCGUAGAGAUGUGGAGGAACACCUGUGGCGAAGGCGCCUUGCUGGCCGAUUUCUGACGCUGAGGCGCGAAAGCGUGGGGAGCAAACAGG
rnacentral:rRNA from 1 species